GCCCAGAUGACGAGUCCCAAAUAGGGCGAAAUGCGCGUCCUGGAU
rnacentral:hammerhead_ribozyme from 1 species